rnacentral:rRNA from 1 species
UACGUAGGGGGCUAGCGUUGUCCGGAUUUAUUGGGCGUAAAGAGCGUGUAGGCGGCUAGGUAGGUCCGUUGUGAAAACUCGAGGCUCAACCUCGAGACGUCGAUGGAAACCAUCUAGCUAGAGUCGGGAAGAGGAGAGUGGAAUUCCUGGUGUAGCGGUGAAAUGCGCAGAUAUCAGGAAGAACACCCGUGGCUAAGGCGGCUCUCUAGUACGGUACUGACGCUGAGACGCGAAAGCGUGGGGAGCGAACAGG